rnacentral:rRNA from 1 species
GCGAACGGGUGAGUAACGCGUGAGGAACCUGCCUCAAAGAGGGGGACAACAGUUGGAAACGACUGCUAAUACCGCAUAAGCCCACGGCUCGGCAUCGAGCAGAGGGAAAAGGAGCAAUCCGCUUUGAGAUGGCCUCGCGUCCGAUUAGCUAGUUGGUGAGGUAACGGCCCACCAAGGCAACGAUCGGUAGCCGGACUGAGAGGUUGAACGGCCACAUUGGGACUGAGACACGGCCCAGACUCCUACGGGAGGCAGCAGUGGGGAAUAUUGCACAAUGGGGGAAACCCUGAUGCAGCGACGCCGCGUGGAGGAAGAAGGUCUUCGGAUUGUAAACUCCUGUUGUUGGGGAAGAUAAUGACGGUACCCAACAAGGAAGUGACGGCUAACUACGUGCCAGCAGCCGCGGUAAAACGUAGGUCACAAGCGUUGUCCGGAAUUACUGGGUGUAAAGGGAGCGCAGGCGGGAAGACAAGUUGGAAGUGAAAUCUAUGGGCUCAACCCAUAAACUGCUUUCAAAACUGUUUUUCUUGAGUAGUGCAGAGGUAGGCGGAAUUCCCGGUGUAGCGGUGGAAUGCGUAGAUAUCGGGAGGA